rnacentral:rRNA from 1 species
AGCGAACGCUGGCGGCAGGCUUAACACAUGCGAGUCGAGCGGGCAUCCUUGUGGUGUCAGCGGCAGACGGGUGAGUAACGCGUGGGAACGUGCCCUUCGGUUCGGAAUAACUCAGGGAAACUUGAGCUAAUACCGGAUACGUGCGAGAGCAGAAAGGUUUAUCUGCCGAAGGAUCGGCCCGCGUCUGAUUAGCUAGUUGGUGAGGUUACGGCUCACCAAGGCGACGAGCAGUAGCUGGUCUGAGAGGAUGAUCAGCCACACUGGGACUGAGACACGGCCCAGACUCCUACGGGAGGCAGCAGUGGGGAAUAUUGGACAAUGGGGGCAACCCUGAUCCAGCCAUGCCGCGUGAGUGAUGACGGCCUUAGGGUUGUAAAGCUCUUUUCUCCGGGACGAUAAUGACGGUACCGGAGGAAUAAGCCCCGGCUAACUUCGUG